rnacentral:rRNA from 1 species
GCUGGAAUCGCUAGUAAUCGCAGAUCAGCACGCCGCGGUGAAUACGUUCCCGGGCCUUGUACACACCGCCCGUCACACCAUGAGAGUCUGUAACACCCAAAGCCGGUGGGAUAACCUUUAUAGGAGUCAGCCGUCUAAGGUAGGACAGAUGAUUAGGGUGAAGUCGUAACAAGGUAAC